GAAGGUUCCAAAGAUAUGAUUUUCUUUUUUUGCGCUUUGCAGGGAACAAAAAUGGUCUACAAGCAUUUGGCCACACUAUACUUUGUUUUUGUCUUUGAUAUCUCUGAGAAUGAGCUUGCCAUGCUCGACCUCGUACAAGUGUUUGUUGAAACAUUGGACAAAUGCUUCAAGAAUGUAUGCGAGCUUGACAUCGUAUUUAACUUCAACAAGGCAGCAGAAAAGGUGGGACACAGAAGCUGCAUCACCAUUUUUGACAGCAGUUGGGUUAUCUGUUUCAAAUUAUGCCUUUUUAUGCACAUGCCAUAUGCAGUGCUAUGCAAAUCUGAAAGUUUGAGUAUAACAAAUGCCUGAAUCCAAGAAUCCCUGUUAUGCAGAAUAGCUAUACCAUUAUCUAUCCAUCUAAUUAAUUAUUGUGGUUAUAAUAGGCAAUAUAGAUAGGCUUCAAAUGGAUAAUCUGUUUCAAAUUAAACUGGACCCUUCAGGUGAUCUAUGUGUAGCCCUGAGUUCACAACCUGAGUUCUGCAAAAUCAGAUUCAAACACACACACAAAUGAAAUUUUGUCAUUUGGAAAAA